GACGAACGCUGGCGGCGUGCUUAACACAUGCAAGUCGAACGAAAAGAGGGAAAGAGCUUGCUCUUUCCGGAAUUGAGUGGCAAACGGGUGAGUAACACGUAAACAACCUGCCUUCAGGAUGGGGACAACAGACGGAAACGACUGCUAAUACCGAAUAAGUUCCAAGGGCCGCAUGGCCCAUGGAAGAAAAGGUGGCCUCUACCUGUAAGCUAUCGCCUGAAGAGGGGUUUGCGUCGGAUUAGCUGGGUGGAGGGGUAACGGCCCACCAAGGCGACGAUCAGUAGCCGGUCUGAGAGGAUGAACGGCCACACUGGAACUGAGACACGGUCCAGACUCCUACGGGAGGCAGCAGUGGGGAAUCUUCCGCAAUGGGCGAAAGCCUGACGGAGCAACGCCGCGUGAGUGAUGACGGCCUUCGGGUUGUAAAACUCUGUGAUCCGGGACGAAAAGGCAGAGUGCGAAGAACAAACUGCAUUGACGGUACCGGAAAAGCAAGCCACGGCUAACUACGUG
rnacentral:rRNA from 1 species